UAAUGUCAACAAGGACCCAGCCCCUUAUCACUAAUUUAGGGUUCAUCACAAUCUUCCGCAAUUAGAGAGUCUGAGAUGCAGAGGUCGGCAUGAUGAUUCCGUUUGUUGGAGUUUCGAUCAUGUCUUUUCACCUUCGUUCCAUCCAUUGAAAUGAGACAAUUUCCAGAUCCAACGCAUUAAAACACGUUCUUAACUACUGAGCCACGAACUACAAUGUGUGUGAAUCUUCUUAGAUACCAUUAUCUCAAAAUAUGGUUUUCUCUCUCUCCUUCGAGGGUUUCUGUGAGAUUCUAAGUUCCCAUGUGGUUGUUCAGAGUUGUAACAGUUUAUGUAUCUGACCGCAGCAUUCGGAGCUAGAAACGGCGGUGUUAGGCCGUUCCAGGAUGCAACAGGUCUUCAAUUGCUUCAUCUCGGCGGCGGCAGUUUUGGAAACUAACGAUGCUAACUCCCAAGAACGCCGGUGGUUUCACGUCGUUGCUUGAGCCUCCACCUACACAAGCAGUGUAUCUUCUCCAUUUCACUGAUUUACGGAAUCGUUUUAGAUAUCUCCACCGCCGCUUCACCGUUACGGAACAUUGACUAGCAAGAACAAUCGGUCUCGCAAGAGAAAAUAACUCGACAAGAAGGCUAACUUCUCAACGAAGAAGAAGAACUAAAGCUUGGAAGAGAACGAGAAGCUUUCAUAUGUUCAUGUUAGAGCUCGCCGUGGUGAAGCAACAGAUAGCCAUAGCUUAGCAGAACGAGCAAGAAGGGAGAAGAUUAAUACACGGAUAAAGCUGCUACAUGAACUGGUUCCAGGCUGUGAUAAGUAUUCUCACAGGAAAAAUUCUGGCUUGAAAUCAGAAUGGAGCCUUCGUCAAGAAGAUAACAAUAAAAGUUCCGGAAAUGACUUGAGAGACAAUUUGAGUGACUUCAAAGGUGAUGGAGCAGACGAUGCAGAAGAAGAGAACAAUGAUUUCUUCUAUGAUUCCGAAACUGACCACGUCCAUUACGUAAUUAAAAUUUUGUUUUUCUUAUUGUACUUUCAAGCUUCUAUAGGAAAUUUUUUAAUGAGAUUCAGUGAGUUUAGAGACUUUUAUGAUUCUGAGUGAUACUUUUGGAUUGUUUGGAAGGUCUCAACUUCUCGGAUGGGGCUAACGUGUAAUUAUCUUUUUUGUUU